ACACAGCUGUGUAUUUGAAGAAUAAAUGAAGAAAUGAAGUAAACACAAGACAUACACACAUACAUAUACCCAUACACAGCUGUAUCUGUGUGAUACAGCUGUGUAUGGGUGAUACAUCUGUAUCUGUGUGAUACAGCUGUGUAUGGGUAUAUGUAUGUGUGUGUGUCUUGUGU